UCGGCUUCUUGCUGUUUAUUGAAACGAAACGUGCAGCGAACGGUAUCAUUUCAGAAAGCUAAAUACGAGCUAAAUACGAGCUAAAUAUCCUUAACUAAAAUUAGUGGUUUGUUCUCUAUAAAAUCGUGUGAAUUCCAUGCAAUUAGACACACACGGAACACAUAUAGUACGGUAGAACUG